CCUACGGGUGGCUGCAGUCGGGAAUCAUUCGCAAUGGGGGCAACCCUGAUGGUGCAACGCCGCGUGGAGGAAUGAAGCUCUUCGGAUGGUAAACCCCUGUCCUGUGGAAGCCGAUUGAGACGAUCGUACCCCACUAGGCAGCGCCUACUAACUAGGUGCCAGCAGCCGCGGUAAUACAGAGGUCUCCAGCGUUGUUCGGCAUCACGUGGCGUAAAGCGUGCGUAGGCUGUUUAGUAAGUCGUGUGUGAAAGGCGCGGGCUCAACCCGCGGACGGCACAUGAUACUGCGAGACUAGAGUAAGGGAGGGGGAAUCGGAAUUCUCGGUGUAGCAGUGAAAUGCGUAGAUAUCGAGAGGAACACCCGUGGCGAAGGCGGGUUACUGGACAGUAACUGACGCUGAGGCACGAAGGCCAGGGGAGCGAAAGGGAUUAGAUACCCGGGUAGUC
rnacentral:rRNA from 1 species